rnacentral:rRNA from 1 species
UACGAGGGGGGCAAGCGUUAUCCGGAAUCACUGGGCGUAAAGCGUGCGUAGGUGGUAAUUUGCGUGCAGUGCGAAAUUGUGUGGCUCAACCAUACAACGGUACUGCAUACGGGAUUACUAGAGGACAUGAGAGGCAAGUGGAAUUACUGGUGUAGCAGUGAAAUGCGUAGAUAUCAGUAGGAACACCAAUGGCGAAGGCAGCUUGCUGGCAUGUAUCUGACGCUAAGGCACGAAAGCGUGGGGAGCGAACAGG